rnacentral:sRNA from 1 species
UUCAACAACCAGAGAGGCCGUAUCUUUAGCGCAAGGCCUGAUCAAGUUGUGAUUUGGGCUAGGCCUUAAGGAUAUAAAUUACAAAAACUAUGGCAGACGCACAAUAUGGUGCAUAUGGACAGCAGCCUGUAGCAGGCCAAGGAGGUUAUAAUUAUGGUAACUACGGAGCUGCUGAUACUGCUUAUGGAAC